rnacentral:rRNA from 1 species
AUAUUGCGCAAUGGCCGAAAGGCUGACGCAGCGACGCCGCGUGGGGGAUGAAGCAUUUCGGUGUGUAAACCCCUGUUGCUCGGGACGAACAACCUCUUUAGAGAGGUCUGACGGUACCGGGUGAGGAAGCACCGGCUAACUCCGUCCCAGCAGCCGCGGUAAUACGGAGGGUGCGAGCGUUGUCCGGAAUCACUGGGCGUAAAGGGCGCGUAGGCGGUCUGCUAAGCGUGCGGUGAAAGCCUGGGGCUCAACCCCAGGUCUGCCGUGCGAACUGGUGGACUAGAGCACUGUAGAGGCAGGUGGAAUUUCGGGUGUAGCGGUGGAAUGCGUAGAGAUCCGAAAGAACACCGGUGGCGAAGGCGGCCUGCUGGGCAGUUGCUGACGCUGAGGCGCGACAGCGUGGGGAGCAAAC